rnacentral:lncRNA from 1 species
UGUUUUCCAAUCUGAGAGCAAUCUGCUUUGUAGUUCUUACCUCUUAGUUUACCAAAAUCCCUUUCAAUUCCAAAAAGGCUAGUACUGACUCAUCACAGAGACAGCAUGAGGCCAUAUUGCUUUGUGAAAUUUUCAUUCUGACAAUCAUGUUUCCAGACUGGGCCUUUUUGCAAUGCUAAUUACACCAUUACCACUCUGCAGGCUAACAUUUCUGUUCUUUAUAAAAUCACUCACCCAGGAGUCUUGCUUUUGGUGUUUCUGUGGAACUUGAACUCAGGAGAAUCUUCUUCCCCUUUCCUGCCCCCAUAUCUCUUUUUCUAUCUAUUCAGCUCUCUCUCUUUCUUAGCAUUUUGGCUGCAGUAACCAAAACAGCAUGAUACUGGUAUAAAAACAGACACAUAGACCAAUGGAACAGAAUAGAGAACCCAGAAAUAAAGCAGCACACCUACACAGUGUAAGAAAAAAUUUGUCUUUAAAAAUAAACUUAAAACUAUGACUAUGUUAUGAUGCAUGCCCUGCUCAUGACCUAGAGGCAGGUCUCUUUCUUUGCCUU